UCCUACGGGAGGCAGCAGUGGGGAAUAUUGGACAAUGGGCGAAAGCCUGAUCCAGCCAUGCCGCGUGUGUGAAGAAGGUCUUCGGAUUGUAAAGCACUUUAAGUUGGGAGGAAGGGCAGUUACCUAAUACGUAAUUGUUUUGACGUUACCGACAGAAUAAGCACCGGCUAACUCUGUGCCAGCAGCCGCGGUAA
rnacentral:rRNA from 1 species